rnacentral:rRNA from 1 species
GACGAACGCUGGCGGCGUGCUUAACACAUGCAAGUCGAACGGUGAAGCCCUUCGGGGUGGAUCAGUGGCGAACGGGUGAGUAACACGUGAGCAACCUGCCCCUGGCUCUGGGACAACCACUGGAAACGGUGGCUAAUACCGGAUACGACCCGCCUCGGCAUCGAGUGUGGGUGGAAAGUUUUUCGGCUGGGGUUGGGCUCGCGGCCUAUCAGCUUGUUGGUGAGGUGAUGGCUCACCAAGGCGACGACGGGUAGCCGGCCUGAGAGGGCGACCGGCCACACUGGGACUGAGACACGGCGCAGACUCCUACGGGAGGCAGCAGUGGGGAAUAUUGCACAAUGGGCGAAAGCCUGAUGCAGCGACGCCGCGUGAGGGAUGACGGCCUUCGGGUUGUAAACCUCUUUCAGCUCCGAAGAAGCGAAAGUGACGGUAGGAGCAGAAGAAGCACCGGCUAACUACGUG